UACGUAGGGCGCAAGCGUUGUCCGGAAUUAUUGGGCGUAAAGAGCUCGUAGGCGGCCAGUUGCGUCUGCUGUGAAAAUCCCGGGGCUCAACCCCGGGCGUGCAGUGGAUACGGGCUGGCUAGAGGCAGGCAGGGGAGAACGGAAUUCCCGGUGUAGCGGUGAAAUGCGCAGAUAUCGGGAGGAACACCGGUGGCGAAGGCGGUUCUCUGGGCCUGUACUGACGCUGAGGAGCGAAAGCGUGGGGAGCGAACAGG
rnacentral:rRNA from 1 species